CUGCUUUGGCGGCACAUAGACUAAAAUUGAAACGACACAGACAGGAUUAGCACGGCCUCCUUACGCAAGGAUGACACGCAAAUUCACGAAGUGUUCCAUGGUGUA